AGCCAUCAAACUGUCCACAGCAAGGGCAUCCCAUGUUAGAAAACCAUUCCAGGGCUCCACAGCCUUGAGGAUCCAUCCUUUCGGAAGUGACAGGACAUGUAGCAUUUCCCCAGCCUCAUGACAGCCGUGUAAACAGCAAUUCCCAAGGAAGG